rnacentral:rRNA from 1 species
GCGGUCCGGCCGGGAACUCAAAGGAGACUGCCAGUGAUAAACUGGAGGAAGGUGGGGAUGACGUCAAGUCAUCAUGGCCCUUACGACCAGGGCUACACACGUGCUACAAUGGCGCAUACAAAGAGAAGCGACCUCGCGAGAGCAAGCGGACCUCAUAAAGUGCGUCGUAGUCCGGAUUGGAGUCUGCAACUCGACUCCAUGAAGUCGGAAUCGCUAGUAAUCGUGGAUCAGAAUGCCACGGUGAAUACGUUCCCGGGCCUUGUACACACCGCCCGUCACACCAUGGGAGUGGGUUGCAAAAGAAGUAGGUAGCUUAACCUUCGGGAGGGCGCUUACCACUUUGUGAUUCAUGACUGGGGUGAAGUCGUAACAAGGUAACCGUAGGGGAACCUGCGGUUGGA